rnacentral:rRNA from 1 species
AAAUGAAUUGACGGGGACCCGCACAAGCGGUGGAUUAUGUGGUUUAAUUCGAUGCAACGCGAAGAACCUUACCAAGCCUUGACAUCCGAGGCGAAGCUCUGGAGACAGAGUGGAGGCUAUCCGAAGGACAGGUGGUGCAUGGUUGUCGUCAGCUCGUGUCGUGAGAUGUUGGGUUAAGUCCCGCAACGAGCGCAACCCCUGUCUUCAGUUACCAUCAUUCAGUUGGGGACUCUGGAGAGACUGCCGGUGACAAACCGGAGGAAGGUGGGGAUGACGUCAAAUCAGCAUGCCCCUUAUGGCUUGGGCUACACACGUAAUACAAUGGCGCAUACAAAGGGCAGCGAUCCUGUGAAGGUGAGCGAAUCUCAUAAAGUGCGUCUCAGUUCGGAUUGGAGUCUGCAACUCGACUCCAUGAAGUCGGAAUCGCUAGUAAUCGUGGAUCAGCAUGCCACGGUGAAUACGUUCCCGGGUCUUGUACACACCGCCCGU